rnacentral:rRNA from 1 species
CCUACGGGUGGCAGCAGUGGGGAAUAUUGCACAAUGGGCGCAAGCCUGAUGCAGCCAUGCCGCGUGUGUGAAGAAGGCCUUCGGGUUGUAAAGCACUUUCAGCGGGGAGGAAGGCGUUAAGGUUAAUAACCUGGUCGAUUGACGUUACCCGCAGAAGAAGCACCGGCUAACUCCGUGCCAGCAGCCGCGGUAAUACGGAGGGUGCAAGCGUUAAUCGGAAUUACUGGGCGUAAAGCGCACGCAGGCGGUUUGUCAAGUCGGAUGUGAAAUCCCCGGGCUCAACCUGGGAACUGCAUUCGAAACUGGCAGGCUAGAGUCUUGUAGAGGGGGGUAGAAUUCCAGGUGUAGCGGUGAAAUGCGUAGAGAUCUGGAGGAAUACCGGUGGCGAAGGCGGCCCCCUGGACAAAGACUGACGCUCAGGUGCGAGAGCGUGGGGAGCAAACAGGAUUAGAUACCCUAGUAGUC